rnacentral:lncRNA from 1 species
CCUGAAAUAAAAUCCAUUGGCAGGAUUCUGUCUUUAAGGAAGGGAGGUCAGACAGCCGCCCCGCAGCUGGGAGAGUUCUGUCAUCAGGAGGAAGCUCCGCCAGUGGGAAAGGACAGGGCCCUCUUCUUUCUCUGCCGAGCUUAACCCACUCCCCAGAGCCUGGCUCCAUUCUGAGGGGCCGCGGAGCUCCCUGUGGGAGGAGGAGGGCUGCUGGCAGAAGGAAUCUGUCUCCUGCCCCUCAGACGGCCGGCCUGGGAAUCCGCCCGCCGUGUGUGAACAACCCUCUUCUUGGUCAACUAGAGAUCCAUUUGGUCCUCAAGAAGCUGACUCCACGCCUGCCCCAGGGAUAAGCCAAUCAGCAUACUGCAUCCUCUAACCACUGAGAUUGCUCAGAGUGUGACAUGUGACUUUAACUAGUCCAAUGAGAUUGACUUCUGAAACUUUUGCUGGAAUGCUGGGA